rnacentral:sRNA from 1 species
UAGUUAGAGUGCCACUCUGCAGAAUGAAGACAAGCAGAGCUAAGCAAGGAGGCAGGGAAGCCAAGGGCCUCAGGGAGCACAGAAUUCAUUCCUUGGUUCCUGUAGCUUUUCUUUUGAUCCUUUGAGCUAUCCCAGUAUUCUUUUCAGCUACAUGAACCACUAAAUUACCUGUUUUUGCUUAGGUUAGAGCUGGAUUUUUGUUGCUUCUGAAAUACUUUUAUUAACAACUGAGAAAAGUAAACAAAGUGUUGUGAAAUAUCUUUUGUAAAAUGAAUAAUUUUGAAAUUUUGUCUCUUCUAGAUUGUUGGACCUUCAGAUGGAAGUAGUUACAUUAUAGAUUACUAUGGAACCAGACUUACAAGACUGAGUAUUACUAAUGAAACAUUUAGAAAAACGCAAUUAUAUCCAUAAAUAUUUUUUAAAAGAAACAGAUUUGAGCCUCCUUGAUUUUAAUAGAGAACUUCUAGUGUAUGGAUUUAGAGAUUUCUCUUUUUCAUUCAUAUACCAUUUUAUGAGUUCUGUGUAAUUUUUUGUGGUUUUUGUUGUGUUGAUUUAAAGUAUAUUAUUGUGAGAUUUAUUUAAAAGGACUUUCUUUGAAAGCUGUGUAAUAUAGUGUUUCUCGGGCUUCUGUCUCCAUGAGAGGUAGCUUAUUACUCUGAUACUCUUUAAUCUUUUACAAAGGCAAGUUGCCACUCGUCAUUUUUGUUUCUGAAAAAUAAAAGUAUAACUUAUUCA